UAGUACGGCGAGUGACNGGAAAAGCUCAAAGUUGGAACCUGUUUGGCCUAGCUAAACCGGAUUGUAAACUGUAGAAGUGUUUUCCAGGCAAGCCGGACCGAUAAGUCCUUUGGAACAGGGCAUCAUAGAGGGUGAGAAUCCCGUCUUCGGUCUGAGCAUUUGCCUUUUGCGAUACACUUUCAAAGAGUCAGGUUGUUUGGGAAUGCAGCCUAAAUUGGGUGGUAAAUCUCACCUAAAGCUAAAUAUUGGCGAGAAACCGAUAGCGAACAAGUACCGUGAGGGAAAGAUGAAAAGAACUUUGAAAAGAGAGUUAAACAGUAUGUGAAAUUGUUAAAAGGGAACCGUUUGGAGCCAGACUGGCUUGUCUGUAAUCAGUCUAAGCUUCGGCUUGGAUGCACUUGCAGGCUAUGCCUGCCAACGACAAUUUGGCUUGAGGGAAAAAACUAAGGGAAAUGUGGCCCAUCCGUGGGUGUUAUAGUCCCUUAGAAAAUACCUUGGGCUGGAUUGAGGUACGCAGCGAAUGCUAUUUGGCGAGUUGGCUGGGAAUAUUUUCUGAGGUGCUUUGGUACUGAGGUUGAUAUUCCUAGUUACACUUCUAUUCGCUUAGGUUGUUGGCUUAAUGACUCUAAAUGACCCGUCUUGAAACACG
rnacentral:rRNA from 1 species